CCUGCAAACAAAAUCCUAACUCUCAUAGAGUCCUCUCAAAAUGAAUAUAAAAUUCUCUCCAUAACUACCACGAAAACUCUCACAAAAACUCAUUUGCGACUACAUCUUGUAGCCCCCAAAAGAAAAGCCCUAUAAUACUACAUUUUUAAUUGCAUCUCAAUUGACUUCUCAAAACAGGAUACAAUGUUCAUUUAAAUAGGUUAAGAUUAGAAGUCUAAUCAUACUAAAAUAUUCCUAGAGUAAUCAAAGUUUAACUAGGAAAAGAUAGUAGAGUUGACUAAGAGAAGAAACCCGAUUUAUAUGGAGAACACGUUGCCACGUCACAACAUUGGAAAGCUUCUUGUCAUGACGUCGCCUUCUGUUUGGCUGAAAAUGCGAAGCACAUCCCACAGUUAUAUAAAUGGAUAAAACACCAUAUAGUCAUUAUUAAGUUUUUUCUAACUUGGUCCCGAAUUUUUUCUUAGUGCAAACCAAUACUCAAACUUGAAUUCCAUUAAACGAUUUAGUCCAUUUUUGUAACACCAUUAAAAAAUAUUGACAUUACAUUUUAAAUUUGUAUCACACCGUGACCUAAAAAUUUUAGAAAUAAAUAUUAUACUUAAUUAAUAUAACAUUACAACAUUAUAAACUUCUAAAUGUUUGCUUUAUCCCUUAUAUAAAUUAUUAUUAUACUUAUUAUUAAAUUUUUAAAAAUCAUUAUAAAUAUUGUAAUGUUAUUGCAAUAUUAUUAAAUUUUUAAAAAUCAUUAUAAAUAUUGCAAUGUUAUAUGCAAUAUUCAUUUUCUCAUUUAUAUUUAUUAUACAUUUUUAGUUCAAAAAUGUUUUUGGUGUAAUUUCUUAAUGGCUUUUAUUUUGGUGGUUGCACUACAUUUAGGGAGAGAUUUGAUGAGAUAGGCAAAAAGAUGAAGAUGUUUCAUUUAAUCAUUAGCAGAUAAGAAGACACAUAUUAGGACCUCCUCGACUGUUUUACAUGUGUCUCUUGAUGUUUGGUGUUGACUUUUUUUAGGGCCUAGGUAAAAUAAUAAAAUGAGGUUUUAAGUUCCUUAAAAGUUAGAGAAAAAAAUUUUUAGGUCCCUUAAAAGGUGGUAAAAAAGAUUUGGGCCCAUAAAAGCUAAAAAAAAAACAAAAAAUUAGACACCUUCAAAGUUAGUUUUUUUUUAAAAAAUUAAAAAAAAUUAAACCCCUUAAAAAUUGAAAAAAACAAUAUUUUGGACACUUUCAACCUUGGGCCCUAGGCGGCCGCACCUCUAGACGACCCCAAGGAUGGGCCUGGAUUGUUAGUUAUGUCUCAAAGAUGCUAAUGGUAAUUAAAAACUUAAUCCCCACCUAUAAUUUCAAUUUUAUGAUAUUUUUAGAAGUUUUUUUUUAUUGUUUUGGAUUUAUAUUUUUUAAAUUAAAAGUACCAAAUUGAUGGUUCGUUUGUGGAGACUUUAAUGUGAUAAUGUAUGGUUUUCAAAAAAAGGGAGGGUUACCCCGUGAUGAACGAAAAAUGGAGAAUUUACGUAAUGUUUUAGCGGAUUGUCAGCUAUUGGAUGUGGGGUUUUCUAGAAAUUGGUUUACAUGGAAGAAAGGAAACCUUCCCAAGACAAACAUUCGUGAACGACUCUUCCAUUGUCCUCUUUUAAUUACUACUAAACGGGCUGAAAAUUGGGUGACUGCUAAAGCUUUCAAGUUUGAAACUUUGUGGAUAGUGGAAGAGUCGUUUAAUGAAUAAGUCAAAAAUAUAUGGAAGUCAUCAUCUAGAAACUUGUUGCAAAAGUUAGAUAUUUUAAAAGGGGGAUUGAGACGAUGGGCAGGACAAAUUCGAUUUGAUAGAAGAAGGAGAAAGGAUCUACUCAUAGCUAGACUAUCAGAACUUGCAGGGGCUGACAGAGGUGAUAUCAACAUGGUAGAACUGCUUGAUGCGAAAAUUCAAUUAAACUUUGAGAUUGAAAAGGACGAACAUUACUGGAACAGAGAGCUCGGAUAAAUUGGCUAAAAUUUAGGGAUAGGAAUACUGCAUUUUUUCAAAGCCAAGUGACGCAGCAUAGAAGGAGAAAUGUCGUCCACAAAUUGAAUAAUGAAGAAAGGGUAGAUACGGACAUUGUGAAGGAAAUUGAGGGAAUUGCGCGAUCUUAUUUCCAGAAUUUAUUUACAAUAGAGGGGUGAGGAAAUUUUGACCAUUUGUUGUCGGGUAUUGAAAAAUGCUAUCUAAGGAGGAUAAUCAAAAUCUUAUAAAGCCUUAUAUGGCAGAGGAGAUUAGAGAGGGGCUGUUAGUGAUGGGACCCACUAGAGCACCAGGUGCAAAUGGCUUUCCAGCUCUGUUUUACCAAAAAUGCUAACACAUCAUUGGGGACGACGUCACCAAAUUCUACUUACAAAUUCAUAACGAAGGUAUGGGCUUUCAACAAAUUAAUGCUACUCAUAUAAUCCUCAUCCCUAAAAUUGAUAAUCCGUCUACUAUGAUGAAUUUCAGACCUAUCAGUCUGUGCAAUGUGCUUUAUAAAAUUAUAGCAAAAGUUACUGAAAAUCGUUUCAGGGGAGUUAUUAAAAACUGUAUUGACGUCUCAGAGUGUGUUUGUACCAGGCAGAUUGAUUUCAGAUAAUGUUCUAUUGGCAUAUGAAAUUCUUCAUACUCUUCAACAAAAGAAAGUUGGGAAAAAAGGUUUUAUGGCAGUCAAGUUUGUUGAAAAGACAAAUUAAAAGGGGUGUUGAAAAGUCAAAAAAAUGGGAGGUGCAAGUGGCACCGAAAGAAAAAAAUGGUAGGCAAGUUGUUUAAAGUUGAAUGGGAUAAUUGCAAUUUUGGUCCCUAAUUUUUAGGCCAUUUGCAAGUUAGUCCCUGAACCUCAACUAUAAAUAGGCCUAACCAUUUCUCAUUUACACCAUCCCAACCAAUCUUUCUCUCUUAGUUUUCUCUCUUCUCCCAUUUGAGAAUUCUUAAGGAAUUCUAUUUGUUUGUAAUAUUUUGGAGAUAGUAAAGUUAUCAUCUGGUGUUAGUGCCCGAGGACGUAGGUAUAAUUUACCGAACCUCGUUAAAACUCUUAUGUUCUUUUUGUCCUAUUUUUCUUUCAAUAUUUGAGGGUAUAAUAGUAGUAUUUAAUUGUGCUAUUAAAUUACGUUAGAAGGAAUAUUCUGACUAAGGAAAGACUUGGUAUUUAAGAGAUCCUUGUGAUCCACCUCUCUUCCCUGGGAAUUGAACUUUGUGUGAUUUUUUAGUACAAUAAUUUACACACUUCCGACCCUAUUGGAACAACAAGUGGUAUCAAGAGCCGAAGGUUAAUCGUAGUAUGCUCUGUGGUUGCAGUUUAAACUGAUCUUCCACAUCAAAAAAGAUUUCCUUAGGUAUAUUGAAAGAUUAUGGAGAAAACAGUCGGUGUAGGAGCUUCAACAUCGUCCAUGUAGACAAGACCGACAAUUGCAAAUGCAAGAUUGGCCGUGGAGAUCUUUGAUGGCACGGGCCAUUUUGGUAUGUGGCAAAGUGAGGUUCUAGAUGCCCUUUUUCAGCAGGGUCUAGACAUUGCCAUUGAUGAAGAAAAACCAGAUGAUGUACAGGAGAAAGAUUGGAAGGCGAUCAAUCGGUUGGCAUGUGGCACAAUUCGAUCAUACCUUUCUCGAGAGCAGAGGUAUGCUUUUUCAAAGGAGACUUCUGCAAAUAAGUUGUGGGUGGCACUUGAAGAAAAAUUUUUGAAGAAAAAUAGUCAAAAUAAGCUCCACUUGAAGAAAAGACUGUUUCGCUUCACAUACGUUUCAAGUACCACAAUGAAUGAUCACAUCACCAAAUUUAAUCAGUUAGUCACUGAUUUGUUGAAUAUGGAUGAGACAUUCAAAGAUGAAGAUUUGGCUUUGAUGCUGUUGGGGUCACUUCCUGAGGAGUUUGAGUUCCUAGAAACUACUCUACUUCAUGGCAGGAGUGAUAUAUCUCUGAGCAAAGUCUAUGCGGCCUUAUACAGUUAUGAACAGAGAAAGAAGGACAAACAGAAAAACUCAAUCAGAGAUACAGAAGCUUUAGUAGUCCGAGGUCGUUCAUACACUCGGAAGAAAACUCAAAAGGGGAGAUCAAAGUCAAAGUCCAGACUCGGGAAAGAUGAAUGUGCUUUUUGUCAUGAGAAAGGCCACUGGAAGAAAAAUUGUCCAAAGCUGAAGAAUAAGGGAAAAGCUGCUGUAGAUGCUUGUGUUGCUAAGCAUGAUACUAGUGACUCUGAACUAUCACUGGUUGCAUCAUCAUCGUCGUUCCAUUCAGAUGAGUGGAUAUUGGAUUCGGGUUGUACCUAUCAUAUGUCCCCUAACCGGGAGUGGUUCUCUGAUUUAGUAGAACUAAAUGGAGGAGUUGUUUAUAUGGGCAAUGACAAUGCCUGUAAAACUGUUGGGAUAGGUUCAAUCUAAUUAAAGAAUCAAGAUGGAUCAACCAGAGUUCUGACUGAUGUUCGGUACGUGCCCAGUUUGAAGAAAAAUCUCAUCUCAUUGGGAGCCUUGGAAUCCAAUGGUUCAGUUGUUACUAUGAAAGAUGGGAUUUUGAAAGUGACAUCUGGUGCACUUGUGAUAUUGAAGGGCAUCAGGAAAAAUAACUUGUAUUACUACCAAGGUAGUAUAGUUAUUGGAGCAGUCGCUACAGCUUCCGGUAACAAAGAAUUGGACUCAAUGCAGUUGUGGCAUAUGAAGUUGGGACAUGCCAGCGAAAAAUCCUUGCAAAUUCUGGCAAAGCAAGGAUUAUUGAAAGGUGCAAAGGCUUACAAAUUAAAAUUUUGCGAGCAUUGUGUUCUGGGAAAGAAAAAGAGAGUGAAAUUCGGUACUGCUAUCCAUAAUACAAAAGGUAUUUUGGAAUAUGUUCACUCAGAUGUGUGGGGGCCUUCCAAGACACCUUCAUUGGGAGGAAAACACUACUUUGUUACUUUUGUUGAUGACUUUUCCAGAAGAGUUUGGGUGUAUACCAUGAGAACUAAGGAUGAAGUGCUUAGAGUUUUUCUUAAAUGGAAAACUAUGAUCGAAAACCAGACUGGCAAGAAAAUCAAGCGGCUUAGGACGGACAAUGGAGGGGAAUAUAAAAGUGAUCAGUUCUUCGAUGUGUGCCAAGAGUAUGGUAUUGUUCGACACUUCACAGUUAGGGAUACACCACAGCAGAAUGGAUUGGCAGAGCGUAUGAAUCGAACAUUACUGGAGAAAGUUCGAUGUAUGUUGUCCAAUGCUGGGUUGGGCAAGCAAUUUUGGGCUGAGGCUGUGACAUACGCUGGCCAUCUUGUUAAUCGUUUGCCAUCAUCUGCAUUAGAAAGAAAAACUCCUAUGGAGGUAUGGUCUGGAAAACCGGCUACAGAUUAUGAUUCCUUACAUGUGUUUGGAUCCACUGCAUAUUACCAUGUGAAGGAGUCAAAGUUAGAUCCGAGGGCAAAGAAAGCUCUCUUUAUGGGAAUCACUUCUGGAGUGAAGGGAUUUCGUCUUUGGUGCUUAAGCAUAAAGAAAAUGAUCUGUAGCAGAGAUGUUACCUUUGAUGAAUCUGCCACAUUGAAAAAGGUAGCAGAUAAAGAUAUUCAGACGAGCAAUACUCCACAACAGGUGGAGUGUACUCCAAAACAUGUGGAGUUUGAGCAGAUGGGGAUUUGCCCAGUUAAUAAGUCUAAUUCUCCAGCCACAAUGGAGGAAUUAGAGGUUGAAGAGGUUCUGACCCAAGAACCACUAAGUACACCAGAACCAGUUGCAGUUGCAAGGCCACGGAGAGAAAUUCGUAAACCUGCUCGAUUUACUGAUAUGGUGGCCUACGCCCUUCCCGUUGUUGAUGAUAUUCCUAUCACUUAUCAAGAAGCGAUGCAAAGCUUAGAAAGUGAUAAAUGGAAAAGCGCCAUGGAUGAAGAAAUGCAGUCUCUCCUGAAGAACAAUACUUGGGAAUUGGCGCAAUUACCGAAAGGUAAAAGGGCAAUCGGAUGCAAGUGGGUAUUCGCAAAGAAAGAUGGAUCUCCUAGCAAGAAGGAUAUUCGCUAUAAGGCAAGAUUGGUAGCUAAAGGCUACGCUCAGAAGGAGGGAAUUGACUACAAUGAUGUAUUUUCCCCUGUUGUGAAGCAUUCCUCCAUUAGAAUUUUGUUGGCCUUGGUAGCACAGUUGAAUUUGGAGCUAGCUCAACUUGAUGUUAAGACGGCUUUCUUGCAUGGUGAGUUAGAAGAGGAGAUCUAUAUGACUCAGCCCGAAGGAUACACAGAUGCUGGUGGUAGAAAUUGGGUUUGUAAGCUGAACAAAUCGCUAUAUGGAUUGAAGCAAUCCCCGAUGCAGUGGUACAAGCGAUUUGAUAGCUUUAUGAGAAGGCAGAAGUACACAAGAAGCAAAUAUGACAAUUGUGUAUAUUUGCAGAAGCUGCAUGACGGAUCUUUCAUUUAUCUACUCUUGUAUGUUGAUGAUAUGUUAAUCGCUUCGAAGAGCCAAAAUGAGAUAGAUAAGCUGAAGGCUCAGUUGAAUCAAGAGUUCGAGAUGAAAGAUCUAGGUGAGGCCAAGAAGAUUCUCGGCCUGGAGAUAAGUAGAGAUAGACCGAGAGGCAAGCUCUGUUUAAAUCAGAAGCAAUAUCUGAAAAAGGUAUUACAAUGUUUUGGUGUAAAUGAAAACACAAAACAUGUAAGUACCCCACUUGCUUCUCAUUUGAAACUUAGUGCUCAAUUAUCUCCGAAGACUGAAGAUGAAAGAGAAUAUAUGGCGAAAGUCCCAUAUGCUAAUGCAGUUGGGAGUUUGAUGUAUGCGAUGGUGUGUACGAGGCCUGACAUUUCACAAUCUGUUGGAGUUGUGAGCAGGUAUAUGCAUGAUCCUGGAAAAGGACAUUGGCAAGCUGUGAAAUAGAUUCUACGGUAUCUUCAAAAAACCGUAGAUGUUGGUUUAAUUUUUGAACAGGAUGAAGCACUUGGUCAGUUUGUAGUUGGAUAUGUUGAUUCCAACUUUGCUGGUGAUUUAGAUAAACGUCGUUCAACUACGGGGUAUCUGUUUACUCUUGCGAAAGCCCCAGUGAGUUGGAAGUCUACCUUACAGUCUACAGUAGCUGUGUCUACUACAGACGCAGAAUAUAUGGUAGUUACAGAAGCUGUUAAGGAGGCUAUUUGGCUUAAUGGAUUGUUGAAAGACUUAGGAGUUGUUCAAAGUCACAUAAGUUUAUAUUGUGACAGUCAGAGCGAUAUUCAUUUAGCGAAAAAUCAAGUCUAUCAUUCAAGAACCAAGCAUAUCGACGUAAGAUAUCACUUUGUGCGGGAAGUCUUUGAAAAAGGAAAAAUUCUACUUCAGAAGAUUCCGACAGCAGAUAAUCCCGCAGAUAUGAUGACCAAGGUGGUAACAACAAUCAAGUUUAAUCAUUGUUUGAACUUGAUUAACAUCCUGAGAAUUUGAGCACCUUUAGGUGUAUGGCGCUCGAGAGCGCAUUUGGAGGCACUACAAAAGAUAGCUUUAUCGAAUUUGGGGAGUUGAAGGAAGUAUGUGAAGAUGUGAUUAUCCUAAUCAAAUCUUCAAGGUGGAGAUUGUUGAAAAGACAAAUUAAAAGGGGUGUUGAAAAGUCAAAAAAAUGGGAGGUGCAAGUGGCACCGAAAGAAAAAAAUGGUAGGCAAGUUGUUUAAAGUUGAAUGGGAUAAUUGCAAUUUUGGUCUCUAAUUUUUAGGCCAUUUGCAAGUUAGUCUCUGAACCUCAACUAUAAAUAGGCCUAACCAUUUCUCAUUUACACCAUCCCAACCAAUCUUUCUCUCUUAGUUUUCUCUCUUCUCCCAUUUGAGAAUUCUUAAGGAAUUCUAUUUGUUUGUAAUAUUUUGGAGAUAGUAAAGUUAUCAUCUGGUGUUAGUGCCCGAGGACGUAGGUAUAAUUUACCGAACCUCGUUAAAACUCUUAUGUUCUUUUUGUCCUAUUUUUCUUUCAAUAUUUGAGGGUAUAAUAGUAGUAUUUAAUUGUGCUAUUAAAUUACGUUAGAAGGAAUAUUCUGACUAAGGAAAGACUUGGUAUUUAAGAGAUCCUUGUGAUCCACCUCUCUUCCCUGGGAAUUGAACUUUGUGUGAUUUUUUAAUACAAUAAUUUACACGCUUCCGACCCUAUUGGAACAACAAAGUUAGACAUGAGUAAAGUAUAUGACAGGGUUGAGUGGAAUUUUAUCAAAGAAAUUAUGAUACGAAUGGGGUUCGAUAUGAACUAGAUUGAAACUUUAAUGAAAUGUUUGACAAUUAUCUUCUAUUCAGUAGUUGUAAAUGGAUACAUAGGAGAAAGCUUCCACCCAGCAAGGGGACAUCGUCAAGGAGACCCGUUUAGCCUGUUUCUAUUUCUCAUUUGCGAAGAGGGUUUAUCGUGUUUAAUGCGAUUAGCAAGUAGAGAAGGUCUAUUGAAAGGAGCCAAAGCUAGUAGGAGCGGACCACAGGUAUCACACUUGUUUUUUACCGAUGAUUGCAUUUUAUUUGGCCAGGCUACAAAAAGAGAAGCUAAUUUAUUGAAGGAAAUUUUAAGGGAAUAUAGGAGUUGCUCAGACCAAUGUGUUAACUUUAAUAAGUCCAAUGUCUUUUUUAAUAGAAAUACCAAUGAAUAGGAUAGGCGGGAAGUGGUAAAUAUUUUGAAGGUGCGAAGUUCAAACAAUCCAAAGAGGUAUUUAGGCUACCCAAUGCAGUUGGAAGAAAGAAAAAAGAAUCGUUUCAGGAUCUAAAAGAUCGAAUUAAGAAACGUAUUGACAAAUGGAGCACUAGAUUUUUUUCUUAGGGCGUAAAUGAAGUAUUUAUCAAAUCUGUCCUUCAAUCUAUCCCAACUUAUACUAUGUCUUGUUUCUUAUUGCCCAAAUCUUUAUGUACAGAAUUGGAAAGCAUUAUUGCUCAAUUUUGGUGGCAAAAGAGGCAUGGCAGACGGGGAAUACAUAGGUGUGCAUAGAAAAUUCUUUGUCUAUUAAAAGAAAAUGGGGGUCUUGGUUUUCGAAAUAUGAGUCAGUUCAAUAUUGCAUUAUUAGCCAAGCAAGGGUGGCGCCUUAUUAAUUAUCUGAAUUCAUUAGUAGCUAGAGUACUCAAGGCUAAAUACUAUCCGCAUACGAAUUUUAAUAACGCUCAGUUAAGGAAUCUACCUUCCCUUACCUAGAAGAGCGUGUAGGCUACUAAGGGAUUGUUGAAGAAUGGACUGUGUUGGAGGGUUGGAAGGGAUGAUGGAAUCUCGAUCUGGGAGGGCCGUCAGAUUCCAAGAAUGAAACUUAAUGAGUGGAACAAUAGAAACGACAGCGAAGGGCCUCAGUUAGUCUCAGAAUUAAUUGACCCAAAUACCAGAACAUGGAAGACAAGUAUUGUUAGUAGUACCUUCCAAAAUGAGAUUGCUCAACAAAUUAUGUAGAUUCCUCUUGCGAAAAGUCCUCAUAACGACCUUUAAGUGUGGAAAGGAGAACCGUCUGGAGAAUUUACUGUCAAAAGUGCCUACAAACUAUUUCAAGAAGCUAUCUUGGAUCCUAGUUAUUAUUUUAUACAGGCCGACUCAAAGAAAUUCUACAAAAAAACUUUGGAAUCUAGGACUACCCUCAAAAAUACUGGUUACAAUAUGGAGAAUUACAUGGAACUAUAUUCCAACUAGGGAUUUAAAUAGCAGUCCGAUACGGCUAUAGCGACGCUAUAUAGCAGUAGCGGCGCCGUCCGAAACCGUUACUAUUGAAAAUAACAGUGUGAAGCGGAGUCCCACUGAUAGCGGUGGGUUGCGGCUACAAUUUAACGGGUAAUGGCCAGUUGCGGCAAUAACAGGCCGCUAUUCCCGUUAUUUUCCGUUGCAGUAAAUUAAAAAAAAUCCAUCUCCUCUAGACAAAAAUCAACAAAAACAGUGAAACACAAUAAAACAAAAGGGAAUAUAUUCUCCUGCCUGUAAAACCAGAGUGUUUUCAAUCAAAAAAAGAAAAAUGAAGACCAAAUAAAUAGAAAAAGCAAUCAAAAUUCAAAACUAAAAAUGAAAACCAAAUAAAUAGAAAAAGCAAUCAAAAUUCAAAACUCAAAAGCAAUAGAAAAUAUGAAAUUCUAUUUCUCAUAUUUCGGUCCCUAAACUCUAAACCAAACGGCAAACAAAGCAAACCCUGAUCACUUUCACAUUCAGAGAUUGAAAAUUUUCAAGUAAGUACCUAAAAUUUUGUCUUGAUUCUUGGCUUCUUGCUUGUUUUUGCAAUGCAAAUAUGUUCUUUAGAGUUUAGACUUUAGGUUAGGGAUGAAGGGAGAAGUUACAACCAGCAUAUUCCAAGAAUUUGAUAGAGUUUUGAGAGGAUAUGAGUUUUAAGAGGAUGAUAGACUUUAGGCCUCUUCAGUUUUUCUUUCUAAGUUUUCUGCCGUUUGAUUUCUUUUUUUCUUUAUUUUUUUCAUUUUUAUUUUCCUUUCCUCCUAGCCAAAACCAAGGCACUGUCUAG
rnacentral:lncRNA from 1 species